UUAAGCGACUAAGCGUACACGGUGGAUGCCCUGGCAGUCAGAGGCGAUGAAGGACGUGCUAAUCUGCGAUAAGCGUCGGUGAGGUGAUAUGAACCGUUAUAACCGGCGAUUUCCGAAUGGGGAAACCCAGUGUGUUUCGACACACUAUCAUUAACUGAAUCCAUAGGUUAAUGAGGCGAACCGGGGGAACUGAAACAUCUAAGUACCCCGAGGAAAAGAAAUCAACCGAGAUUCCCCCAGUAGCGGCGAGCGAACGGGGAGGAGCCCAGAGCCUGAAUCAGUGUGUGUGUUAGUGGAAGCGUCUGGAAAGGCGCGCGAUACAGGGUGACAGCCCCGUACACAAAAAUGCACAUAUUGUGAGCUCGAUGAGUAGGGCGGGACACGUGGUAUCCUGUCUGAAUAUGGGGGGACCAUCCUCCAAGGCUAAAUACUCCUGACUGACCGAUAGUGAACCAGUACCGUGAGGGAAAGGCGAAAAGAACCCCGGCGAGGGGAGUGAAAAAGAACCUGAAACCGUGUACGUACAAGCAGUGGGAGCCUCUUUAUGGGGUGACUGCGUACCUUUUGUAUAAUGGGUCAGCGACUUAUAUUCUGUAGCAAGGUUAACCGAAUAGGGGAGCCGAAGGGAAACCGAGUCUUAACUGGGCGUUAAGUUGCAGGGUAUAGACCCGAAACCCGGUGAUCUAGCCAUGGGCAGGUUGAAGGUUGGGUAACACUAACUGGAGGACCGAACCGACUAAUGUUGAAAAAUUAGCGGAUGACUUGUGGCUGGGGGUGAAAGGCCAAUCAAACCGGGAGAUAGCUGGUUCUCCCCGAAAGCUAUUUAGGUAGCGCCUCGUGAAUUCAUCUCCGGGGGUAGAGCACUGUUUCGGCAAGGGGGUCAUCCCGACUUACCAACCCGAUGCAAACUGCGAAUACCGGAGAAUGUUAUCACGGGAGACACACGGCGGGUGCUAACGUCCGUCGUGAAGAGGGAAACAACCCAGACCGCCAGCUAAGGUCCCAAAGUCAUGGUUAAGUGGGAAACGAUGUGGGAAGGCCCAGACAGCCAGGAUGUUGGCUUAGAAGCAGCCAUCAUUUAAAGAAAGCGUAAUAGCUCACUGGUCGAGUCGGCCUGCGCGGAAGAUGUAACGGGGCUAAACCAUGCACCGAAGCUGCGGCAGCGACACUAUGUGUUGUUGGGUAGGGGAGCGUUCUGUAAGCCUGUGAAGGUGGCCUGUGAGGGUUGCUGGAGGUAUCAGAAGUGCGAAUGCUGACAUAAGUAACGAUAAAGCGGGUGAAAAGCCCGCUCGCCGGAAGACCAAGGGUUCCUGUCCAACGUUAAUCGGGGCAGGGUGAGUCGACCCCUAAGGCGAGGCCGAAAGGCGUAGUCGAUGGGAAACAGGUUAAUAUUCCUGUACUUGGUGUUACUGCGAAGGGGGGACGGAGAAGGCUAUGUUGGCCGGGCGACGGUUGUCCCGGUUUAAGCGUGUAGGCUGGUUUUCCAGGCAAAUCCGGAAAACCAAGGCUGAGGCGUGAUGACGAGGCACUACGGUGCUGAAGCGACAAAUGCCCUGCUUCCAGGAAAAGCCUCUAAGCAUCAGGUAACAUCAAAUCGUACCCCAAACCGACACAGGUGGUCAGGUAGAGAAUACCAAGGCGCUUGAGAGAACUCGGGUGAAGGAACUAGGCAAAAUGGUGCCGUAACUUCGGGAGAAGGCACGCUGAUAUGUAGGUGAAGCGACUUGCUCGUGGAGCUGAAAUCAGUCGAAGAUACCAGCUGGCUGCAACUGUUUAUUAAAAACACAGCACUGUGCAAACACGAAAGUGGACGUAUACGGUGUGACGCCUGCCCGGUGCCGGAAGGUUAAUUGAUGGGGUUAGCGGUAACGCGAAGCUCUUGAUCGAAGCCCCGGUAAACGGCGGCCGUAACUAUAACGGUCCUAAGGUAGCGAAAUUCCUUGUCGGGUAAGUUCCGACCUGCACGAAUGGCGUAAUGAUGGCCAGGCUGUCUCCACCCGAGACUCAGUGAAAUUGAACUCGCUGUGAAGAUGCAGUGUACCCGCGGCAAGACGGAAAGACCCCGUGAACCUUUACUAUAGCUUGACACUGAACAUUGAGCCUUGAUGUGUAGGAUAGGUGGGAGGCUUUGAAGUGUGGACGCCAGUCUGCAUGGAGCCGACCUUGAAAUACCACCCUUUAAUGUUUGAUGUUCUAACGUUGGCCCGUAAUCCGGGUUGCGGACAGUGUCUGGUGGGUAGUUUGACUGGGGCGGUCUCCUCCUAAAGAGUAACGGAGGAGCACGAAGGUUGGCUAAUCCUGGUCGGACAUCAGGAGGUUAGUGCAAUGGCAUAAGCCAGCUUGACUGCGAGCGUGACGGCGCGAGCAGGUGCGAAAGCAGGUCAUAGUGAUCCGGUGGUUCUGAAUGGAAGGGCCAUCGCUCAACGGAUAAAAGGUACUCCGGGGAUAACAGGCUGAUACCGCCCAAGAGUUCAUAUCGACGGCGGUGUUUGGCACCUCGAUGUCGGCUCAUCACAUCCUGGGGCUGAAGUAGGUCCCAAGGGUAUGGCUGUUCGCCAUUUAAAGUGGUACGCGAGCUGGGUUUAGAACGUCGUGAGACAGUUCGGUCCCUAUCUGCCGUGGGCGCUGGAGAACUGAGGGGGGCUGCUCCUAGUACGAGAGGACCGGAGUGGACGCAUCACUGGUGUUCGGGUUGUCAUGCCAAUGGCACUGCCCGGUAGCUAAAUGCGGAAGAGAUAAGUGCUGAAAGCAUCUAAGCACGAAACUUGCCCCGAGAUGAGUUCUCCCUGAGACUUAGAGUCUCCUGAAGGAACGUUGAAGACGACGACGUUGAUAGGCCGGGUGUGUAAGCGCAGCGAUGCGUUGAGCUAACCGGUACUAAUGAACCGUGAGGCUU
rnacentral:rRNA from 1 species